AAAGAAAUCGUUAAGGGCGUAUGGCGGAUGCCUAGGCUUUCAGAGGCGACGAAGGACGUGGUAAGCUGCGAAAAGCUGCGGGGAUUGGCACACACGAAUUGAUCCGCAGAUAUCCGAAUGGGGCAACCCGGCAUAUUGAAGAUAUGUCACCUCGUAAGAGGAGCAAACCCGGAGAACUGAAACAUCUAAGUACCCGGAGGAAAAGAAAUCGAAGAGAUUCCGUAAGUAGUGGCGAGCGAAAGCGGAUUAGCCCAAAAGUCUUUUUAUGUUUAGAGGAAUGUUCUGGAAAGAACAAUCAUAGAAGGUGAUAAUCCUGUACUCGAAAGGCAUAUAGAGAUGAUAAAUGAGUAGGGCGGGACACGUGAAAUCCUGUCUGAAUAUGGGGGGACCAUCCUCCAAGGCUAAAUACUCCUGAAAGACCGAUAGUGAACAAGUACUGUGAAGGAAAGGUGAAAAGCACUUCGAAUAGAAGGGUGAAAUAGAACCUGAAACCGUACGCCUACAAGCGGUCGGAGCAGCGUAAUGCUGUGACGGCGUGCCUUUUGCAUAAUGAGCCUACGAGUUAAUUUUACUAGCGAGGUUAAGGUAUUAAGUACCGGAGCCGGAGCGAAAGCGAGUCUGAAUAGGGCGCAUAGUUAGUAGGAUUAGACGCGAAACCUUGUGAUCUACCCAUGGGCAGGUUGAAGCUCUGGUAACACAGAGUGGAGGACCGAACCGGUUGACGUUGAAAAGUCUUCGGAUGACCUGUGGGUAGGGGUGAAAGGCCAAUCAAACUGGGAGAUAGCUCGUACUCUCCGAAAUGCAUUUAGGUGCAGCGUCGUAUAUAAGUUUAUUAGAGGUAGAGCUACUGAUUGGAUGCGGGGGUUUCAUCGCCUACCAAUUCCUGACAAACUCCGAAUGCUAAUAAAUGUUCUACGGCAGUGAGGGCAUGGGUGCUAAGGUCCAUGUCCGAGAGGGAAAGAACCCAGACCAACAGCUAAGGUCCCCAAAUAUAUGUUAAGUUGAAGCAACGCGGUUGGACUGCAUUGACAGCUAGGAUGUUGGCUUGGAAGCAGCCAUUCAUUUAAAGAGUGCGUAACAGCUCACUAGUCGAGCGGUCCGGCAUGGAUAAUAAUCGGGCAUAAACAUAUUACCGAAGCUAUGGAUUUAUAUUUUAGAUAUAUCUGGUAGGAGAGCAUUCUAUUUGCGCCGAAGCAGUACUGUGAGGUAUUGUGGAGCGGAUAGAAAAGAAAAUGUAGGCAUAAGUAACGAUAAAGCAGGCGAGAAACCUGCUCACCGAAAGACCAAGGCUUCCUCAGCCAUGCUAAUCAGCUGAGGGUUAGUCGGGACCUAACGCGAACCCGAAAGGGGUAGUGGAUGGACAAUGGGUUAAUAUUCCCAUACUUGCUCACAAUAAAAGGGGACGGUUGGAUGUAGCUGCUGGAGACUGACGGAAUAGUCAAGGCCUAGCCUUCGGGCGAAGCUGCUGUAGUGUAAUCUGAUCCAAGAAAAGCCGAAGUGAAGCAACCCGUACCAAAACCGACACAGGUGGUCGAGGAGAGAAUCCUAAGGUGCUCGAGUGAGUCGUGGCUAAGGAACUAGGCAAAAUAGUCUCGUAACUUCGGAAGAAGAGACGCCAACAGCAAUGUUGGCCGCAGUGAAGAGGCCCAGGCGACUGUUUAUCAAAAACACAGGACUCUGCUAAAUCGAAAGAUGCUGUAUAGGGUCUGACACCUGCCCGGUGCUGGAAGGUUAAGGAAGGUGCUUAGCGUAAGCGAAGGCAUUAACUGAAGCCCCAGUAAACGGCGGCCGUAACUAUAACGGUCCUAAGGUAGCGAAAUUCCUUGUCGGGUAAGUUCCGACCUGCACGAAUGGUGUAACGAUCUGGGCACUGUCUCAGCCACGAGCUCGGUGAAAUUGUAGUAUCGGUGAAGAUGCCGAUUACCCGCAAUGGGACGAAAAGACCCUGUGAACCUUUACUAUAACUUCGUAUUGACUUUGAGUAAGUAAUGUGUAGGAUAGGUGGGAGGCUUUGAAGCAGGCACGCUAGUGUUUGUGGAGCCGACGUUGAAAUACCACCCUUUACUUACUUGGAGCCUAACUUCUUUCAGAAGGACAUUGCGUGGUGGGUAGUUUGACUGGGGUGGUCGCCUCCAAAAGAGUAACGGAGGCUUUCAAAGGUACCCUCAGCACGCUUGGUAACCGUGCGUAGAGUGUAAUGGCAUAAGGGUGCUUGACUGUGAGACCUACAAGUCGAUCAGGUGCGAAAGCAGGACAUAGUGAUCCGGUGGUUCCGUAUGGAAGGGCCAUCGCUCAUAGGAUAAAAGGUACUCCGGGGAUAACAGGCUAGUCUCCCCCAAGAGCUCACAUCGACGGGGAGGUUCGGCACCUCGAUGUCGGCUCGUCACAUCCUGGGGCUGGAGAAGGUCCCAAGGGUUGGGCUGUUCGCCCAUUAAAGUGGCACGCGAGCUGGGUUCAGAACGUCGUGAGACAGUUCGGUCUCUAUCUAUUGCGGGCGUUAGAUGUUUGAGAGGGCUUGAUUCUAGUACGAGAGGACCGAAUUGAACAAACCUCUGGUGUAUCAGUUGUACCGCCAGGUGCACCGCUGAGUAGCUACGUUUGGAAGAGAUAAGCACUGAAAGCAUAUAAGUGCGAAACUCGCCUCAAGAUGAGACAUCUUUUAAGGGUCGUUGUAGAUGACGACGUUGAUAGGCUAUAGGUGUAAAGACAGUAAUGUCAUAGCCAAGUAGUACUAAUUACCCGUAGAUUUAUAGUC
rnacentral:rRNA from 1 species